GGUCCAGACUUUGAUUAUGGCUCAGGAUGAACGCUAGCUACAGGCUUAACACAUGCAAGUCGAGGGGCAGCAUGAACUUAGCUUGCUAAGUUUGAUGGCGACCGGCGCACGGGUGAGUAACACGUAUCCAACCUUCCGUUUACUCAGGGAUAGCCUUUCGAAAGAAAGAUUAAUACCUGAUAGUAUGGUGAGAUUGCAUGAUAGCACCAUUAAAGAUUCAUUGGUAAACGAUGGGGAUGCGUUCCAUUAGGUAGUAGGCGGGGUAACGGCCCACCUAGCCUACGAUGGAUAGGGGUUCUGAGAGGAAGGUCCCCCACAUUGGAACUGAGACACGGUCCAAACUCCUACGGGAGGCAGCAGUGAGGAAUAUUGGUCAAUGGGCGCGAGCCUGAACCAGCCAAGUAGCGUGAAGGAUGAAGGUCCUACGGAUUGUAAACUUCUUUUAUAAGGGAAUAAAGUCGCCUACGUGUAGGCGUUUGUAUGUACCUUAUGAAUAAGCAUCGGCUAACUCCGUGCCAGCAGCCGCGGUAAUACGGAGGAUGCGAGCGUUAUCCGGAUUUAUUGGGUUUAAAGGGAGCGUAGACGGAGGAUUAAGUCAGUUGUGAAAGUUUGCGGCUCAACCGUAAAAUUGCAGUUGAUACUGGUCCCCUUGAGUGCAGUUGAGGCAGGCGGAAUUCGUGGUGUAGCGGUGAAAUGCUUAGAUAUCACGAAGAACCCCGAUUGCGAAGGCAGCCUGCUAAGCUGUAACUGACGUUGAUGCUCGAAAGUGUGGGUAUCAAACAGGAUUAGAUACCCUGGUAGUCCACACGGUAAACGAUGGAUACUCGCUGUUGGCGAUAUACUGUCAGCGGCCAAGCGAAAGCAUUAAGUAUCCCACCUGGGGAGUACGCCGGCAACGGUGCAACUCAAAUGAAUUGACGG
rnacentral:rRNA from 1 species